AUGAGCAGCUGCAGUGAGGCGGAGAUGAAAAGAGGCUUCGGAGUUUUUGCAGUGGACCUGAACUCCGGAGAGGGUCUGCUGUUUGGUAGGGCGUUGAGUUACUGCGCCUGCCUAGUUUGUUUCUUGUGAAAUGUGAUGAAGAUGGACCGUUUUAAAUUUGUUCAUGUUUCCAGUUUGCUGUGUUAUCUUUGUUUGCUUGGUGGUUUUGAACCUCAAGACUUGCUUUUGCUUUGAUAAUAAAGCAGCAUCGUGCAUUUGAUGCUGUGGU
rnacentral:lncRNA from 1 species